UGCCCUUGUUGUAUCAAUGAGAGAGUGAUAGACGCUCUACCAGGGACAAGACAGGUUGCAUUUACAGCAUCAGUGGUCAGAGGAAUGAGUUCUGACUGCCUCGUGACAUCAAACCAGAAGAUCAGACAUCAAAAAGCAAAUGAUACCAUUUUUUAGAGAACUCCAACCAAACCUACUCACAAAAACAAGUUCAUACCAUUUUGAUCUUUUAUUUACAGACUGGCUCUUCGAGCUGCUGCGCCCAUGGGUGUGAAGGUUCUCCAGUGUUUUCCCUGGUACAGGAGGUGUAAAGACAGAGGCAAGGGCAGACACUGCCCCCCUAAAGCAGUUCCAUACAUUGAAGCGGAGCCCCAGUUUGCCCCGACAACCUAUGCCAGCGCUGGAGGAGGAGUUGUCUACUUUUCCCACAAGGCAAGAGUGGCCUACAGACAUCAGAUGGAAGGCAACGUUAUAGAUACCACCUACUGACCCCUAGCCUCAUCCUGCAGCCCCUGCUGCAGAAACACCCCUCAAAGACUGUCUGCUCAGAAUCCUCUGUCUCACAACAGACUAUAUCCCAGUUCUUCAAUGAUCUUGUUUGUAGUUGAGGAGCUCAGUUCAUCUCAAUGUUAGAGAUAGUUGCUUGAAUGAAGAUGGAGGCUGAGUAGCACUUUUGAGAACAGUCUGAUAGGCAUACGGCAUUUUUUGACAGAAUUGGAAGAAAACACUUUUGUAGAUAUAAGGGUAAAGAAAAUGUGUUUACGCUAUUACCUUGAAGUGCAUUCUUCUUGUUUUAUCAUUUGUCACUUUAUUUAUUGUUCUAGGGUCAAUGUUGAGUAUUUAUUGUUUUAGGGUGAAUGUUUUGCAUCUAAAUUACGUUUUGUAGUUGUCCAUUUGCUGUAAAAUCCCAUCUAGCAAUUGGUGUUGUAGACUAGUCAUAACUUAAUGCACGGCUAUGCGAUGAAUGCUAUAAUUCUACAACUGUCAAUUAUUUCUGUCACUUUAUAUUCUAUUUGUGUUUUUUUCUUUUGAAAUAAUGGAACAAUACUAAUGUUACAUUACUAAUAAUGUAACAAGUAUAUUUUAAAAUAGUGUUGGAUAGAUGCAAAUGAAUUGUCUUGCAGUUUGAUUAUGGAACAUUGCUACAGUGUCCGUCUAGUUCGGUCCAUGUUCACUGUUAUCCUAUCACAGCCUUUCAAUAGUUUUGAGUAAGAAUGGGAUAUACUCAACAAACAGGCCUUUAUGAGUAAGGGAUAAUCAACUAAAAUAAUGAACAACAUGGAAGGUGUGUUCCAAGAUGCGCUAGCAAGGUGGCAUCUAACAAAUGACACAUUAUUUUCCAGAGAACACAGAGCCCUGAGUUGAUUAUCCCUUUUAUACCAUGGCUCAAA